UGGAGGCUGUUGGACUGCAGUAGCAGAGCAAUGCCUAAAUCAAAGGAACUUGUUUCUUCGAGCUCUUCAGGCAACGAUUCUGACAGUGAAGUUGAAAAAAAGUUAAAGAGGAAAAAGCAAGUUGCUCCAGAAAAACCUGUAAAGAAACAAAAGCCUGGUAAAACUUCAAGAGCUUUGGCCUCUUCCAAGCAGAGCAGCAGCAGCAGAGAUGACAUGUUUCAGAUUGGGAAAAUGAGGUAUGUCAGUGUUCGGGACUUUAAAGGGAAAAUUCUAAUUGAUAUUAGAGAAUAUUGGAUGGACUCAGAAGGUGAAAUGAAACCCGAAAGAAAAGGUAUUUCUUUAAAUAUGGAGCAGUGGAGCCAGCUGAAGGAACAGAUUUCUGACAUUGAUGAUGCAGUAAGAAAACUAAAAUCUGAGCCAUCUCAAACUUGUACUGUUCUAGUUGUUUUAAUCUGUCUUUUUACAUUGGCUUUUGUUUUCUAAAUAUUGUUUUCCAAGCUGUUGUAUAUUUGGAUU